AUUGUCAGUUUGGACAAAGACUUCGUUCCCAGUACCCGGAAGCUGCCUCUGGUGACCGUGCAGGAUCCCAGCGGGAACCGCAUCGCCCAGUGGCGAGAUGUGACUCCGCAGCAGGGCAUCGUGGAUCUGUCCCUCCUGCUAUCUGCAGAGCCGGCCGUGGGGACGUACGCCAUCGAGGCGCAGGGGACAAGGCACUCAUUCAGCGUGG